UCUUACAGAUGAACAAAGAAAGUGGUUUCUUGAGAUGUAAACUACUCUUGUUGAAGAUUCUGUGAA
rnacentral:pre_miRNA from 1 species